CCUACGGGAGGCUGCAGUAGGGAAUCUUCCGCUAUGGACGAAAGUCUGACGGAGCAACGCCGCGGGAGCGAAGAAGGUCUUCGGAUCGUAAAGCUCUGUUGGUAGGGAAGAACAAGUACGGGAGGAAAUGACCGUACCUUGACGGUACCUGACGAGGAAGCCACGGCGAACUACGUGCCAGCAGCCGCGGUAAUACGUAGGUGGCAAGCGUUGUCCGGAAUUAUUGGGCGUACAGCGCGCGCCGGCGGUCUUAUAAGUCUGAUGUGAAAUCUUGCGGCUCAACCGCAAGCGGCCAUUGGAAACUGUGAGACAUGCGGUCAGAAGAGGUAACCGGUAGUCCAUUCGCAGCGGUGAAAUUGGUAGUGAUUCGGAGGAAAACCAGCGGCGAAGGCGGCUUUUUCGCCCGUAACUGACGCUGAGGCGCGAAAGCGUUGGGAGCAAACAGUGUUAGAUACCCUAGUAGUC
rnacentral:rRNA from 1 species